rnacentral:rRNA from 1 species
GAUGAACGCUGGCGGCGUGCCUAAUACAUGCAAGUAGAACGCUGAAGCUUGGUGCUUGCACCGAGCGGAUGAGUUGCGAACGGGUGAGUAACGCGUAGGUAACCUGCCUCUUAGCGGGGGAUAACUAUUGGAAACGAUAGCUAAUACCGCAUAAAAGUCGAUAUCGCAUGAUAUUGAUUUGAAAGGUGCAAAUGCAUCACUAAGAGAUGGACCUGCGUUGUAUUAGCUAGUUGGUGAGGUAACGGCUCACCAAGGCGACGAUACAUAGCCGACCUGAGAGGGUGAUCGGCCACACUGGGACUGAGACACGGCCCAGACUCCUACGGGAGGCAGCAGUAGGGAAUCUUCGGCAAUGGGGGCAACCCUGACCGAGCAACGCCGCGUGAGUGAAGAAGGUUUUCGGAUCGUAAAGCUCUGUUGUAAGAGAAGAACGAGUGUGAGAGUGGAAAGUUCACGCUGUGACGGAUCUACCAGAAAGGACG